rnacentral:rRNA from 1 species
AAUGAACGCUGGCGGCAUGCCUAACACAUGCAAGUCGAACGAAGGCUUCGGCCUUAGUGGCGCACGGGUGCGUAACGCGUGGGAAUCUGCCCUCAGAUUCGGAAUAACAGCGAGAAAUUGCUGCUAAUACCGGAUGAUAUCGCGAGAUCAAAGAUUUAUCGCCUGAGGAUGAGCCCGCGUAGGAUUAGCUAGUUGGUGUGGUAAAGGCGCACCAAGGCGACGAUCCUUAGCUGGUCUGAGAGAAUGAUCAGCCACACUGGGACUGAGACACGGCCCAGACUCCUACGGGAGGCAGCAGUGGGGAAUAUUGGACAAUGGGCGAAAGCCUGAUCCAGCAAUGCCGCGUGAGUGAUGAAGGCCUUAGGGUUGUAAAGCUCUUUUACCCGGGAUGAUAAUGACAGUACCGGGAGAAUAAGCUCCGGCUAACUCCGUGCCAGCAGCCGCCGUAA